rnacentral:rRNA from 1 species
UAGCCGUAAACGAUACUCGCUAGGUGUCGGCCACGGUGCGACCGUUGUCGGUGCCGUAGGGAAGCCGUGAAGCGAGCCACCUGGGAAGUACGGCCGCAAGGCUGAAACUUAAAGGAAUUGGCGGGGGAGCACCACAACGGGUGGAGCUUGCGGUCUAAUUGGAUUCAACGCCGGAAAUCUUACCGGGACCGACAGCAACAUGAAGGCCAGGCUGAAGACUUUGCCGGAUUAGCUGAGAGGAGGUGCAUGGCGUAGUCGUGU